rnacentral:rRNA from 1 species
AGUGAACGCUGGCGGUAGGCCUAACACAUGCAAGUCGAACGGCAGCACAGUAAGAGCUUGCCCUUACGGGUGGCGAGUGGCGGACGGGUGAGGAAUACAUCGGAAUCUACUUUUUCGUGGGGGAUAACGUAGGGAAACUUACGCUAAUACCGCAUACGACCUACGGGUGAAAGCAGGGGAUCUUCGGACCUUGCGCGAUUGAAUGAGCCGAUGUCGGAUUAGCUAGUUGGCGGGGUAAAGGCCCACCAAGGCGACGAUCCGUAGCUGGUCUGAGAGGUUGAUCAGCCACACUGGAACUGAGACACGGUCCAGACUCCUACGGGAGGCAGCAGUGGGGAAUAUUGGACAAUGGGCGCAAGCCUGAUCCAGCCAUACCGCGUGGGUGAAGAAGGCCUUCGGGUUGUAAAGCCCUUUUGUUGGGAAAGAAAAGCAGCAGGUUAAUACCCCGCUGUUCUGACGGUACCCAAAGAAUAAGCACCGGCUAACUUCGUG